GGGUGUCGCUCAAAUAUACCUGCCAAACUGUGGUAAUUCUAGAGCUAAUACAUGCACCAAAGCUCCAACCCGCAAGGGAAGAGCGCAUUUAUUAGAACAAAACCAAGCGGCUUCGGCCGUCCAAAGUUGACUCAGAAUAACUAAGCUGAUCGCAUGGUCUUGUACCGGCGACGUGUCUUUCAAGCAUCUGCCUUAUCAACUUUCGAUGGUAGUGUAUCUGACUACCAUGGUGGUGACGGGUAACGGAGGAUAAGGGUUCGACUCCGGAGAAGGGGCCUGAGAAAUGGCCACUACGUCUAAGGAUGGCAGCAGGCGCGCAAAUUACCCACUCUCAGAACGAGGAGGUAGUGACGAGAAAUAACGAGAUCGUUCUCUUCAGAGGCCGAUCAUCGGAAUGGGUACAAUUUAAACCCUUUAACGAGUAUCUAUGAGAGGGCAAGUCUGGUGCCAGCAGCCGCGGUAAUUCCAGCUCUCAAAAUGCAUAGAAUUAUUGCUGCGGUUAAAAAGCUCGUAGUUGGAUCUGUGCUGGUGUGGCGGUCCGCCUUCGGGCGCGUACUGUUCAUCACUGGCUUUUCUGUAGUGUUCGGCUCCAUGGCCUUCAACGGUCGUGGUUGUUCGGUGCUACAAGUUUACUUUGAACAAAUCAGAGUGCUCUAAACAGGCGUUUCGCUUGAAUGUUCGUGCAUGGAAUAAUAGAAGAGGAUUUCGGUUCUAUUUUAUUGGUUUUAUAGACUGAGAUAAUGGUUAACAGAGACAAACGGGGGCAUUCGUAUUGCUACGUGAGAGGUGAAAUUCUUGGACCGUAGCAAGACGGACUACAGCGAAAGCAUUUGCCAAGAAUGUCUUCAUUAAUCAAGAACGAAAGUCAGAGGUUCGAAGGCGAUCAGAAUUACCCGCCCCA
rnacentral:rRNA from 1 species